ACGGCUCAGUAACACGUGGACAACCUACCCUGAGGUCGGGGAUAAACCCGGGAAACUGGGUAUAAUACCCGAUAGAUCUAGAUUGCUGGAAUGCUUUUAGGUCUAAAGUUCCGACGCCUCAGGAUGGGUCUGCGGCCUAUCAGGGUAGUAGUGGGUGUAACGUACCUACUAGCCCACGACGGGUACGGGUUGUGAGAGCAAGAGCCCGGAGAUGGAUUCUGAGACACGAAUCCAGGCCCUACGGGGUGCAGCAGGCGCGAAACCUUUACAAUGCUGGCAACAGCGAUAAGGGGACCUCGAGUGCUACGAUACAAUCGUGGCUGUCUAGUUGCCUAAAAAGCAAUUGAUAGCAAGGGCCGGGCAAGACCGGUGCCAGCCGCCGCGGUAACACCGGCGGCUCGAGUGGUAACCGCUAUUAUUGGGUCUAAAGGGUCUGUAGCCGGCUUAGUUAGUCUCUUGAGAAAUCUGGCCGCUCAACGGUCAGGCGUUCAGGGGAUACUGCUAAAGCUCGAGACCGGGAGAGGUGAGAGGUACUUCAGGGGUAGGGGUGAAAUCUUGUAAUCCUUGAAGGACCACCAGUGGCGAAGGCGUCUCACCAGAACGGAUCUGACGGCAAGGGACGAAAGCUAGGGGCACGAACCGGAUUAGAUACCCGGGUAGUCCUAGCCGUAAACGAUACUCGCUAGGUGUCGGCCACGGUGCGACCGUGGUCGGUGCCGUAGGGAAGCCGUGAAGCGAGCCACCUGGGAAGUACGGCCGCAAGGCUGAAACUUAAAGGAAUUGGCGGGGGAGCAC
rnacentral:rRNA from 1 species